rnacentral:pre_miRNA from 1 species
AAUUUCAGCUAAAAAAGUCAUGAACAUAAAAGUUGUAGAACUCAUCAAGACAUACAACUUUUAUUUUGAUCAUUUCUUCAUCCGAUAAAGUUAUAGUAACAUUGUUCACAAAAUUUGUGUAUCUCUCUUAUAGUUUAUGAAACCAUAUGAGAGAUCUGUAAAUUUUGUGAACAAUAUUAUUAUUACUUUAUCGGAUGAAGAAAUGAUCAAAAUAAAAGUUAUAGAUCUUGAUGAGUUAUACAACUUUGUUGUUGAUGACUUUUUCAGUUCAAAUC